AUGAACGCUAGCGACAGGCCUAACACAUGCAAGUCGAGGGGCAGCACAAGGAGCAAUCUGAGGUGGCGACCGGCGCACGGGUGAGUAACACGUAUGCAACCUGCCUGUAAGCGGGGAAUAACCCGUUGAAAGACGGACUAAUACCGCAUAAUACUAAAUUACUGCAUGGUAAUUUAUUUAAACAUUUAUGGCUUACAGAUGGGCAUGCGCAUGAUUAGCUAGUUGGAGAGGUAACGGCUCCCCAAGGCAACGAUCAUUAGGGGUUCUGAGAGGAAGGUCCCCCACACUGGUACUGAGACACGGACCAGACUCCUACGGGAGGCAGCAGUGAAGAAUAUUGGUCAAUGGACGAGAGUCUGAACCAGCCAAGUCGCGUGCAGGAAGAAUGUCCUUAAUGGAUUGUAAACUGCUUUUGCAGGGGAAUAAAGUGCAUCACGUGUGAUGUUUUGUAUGUACUCUGCGAAUAAGGAUCGGCUAACUCCGUGCCAGCAGCAGC
rnacentral:rRNA from 1 species